rnacentral:tRNA from 1 species
AGGGUAAUAGCUCAGUGGCAGAGUGCAUGCUUAGCAUGCAUCGGGUCCUGAGUUCAAUACCCAGUACCUCCA